rnacentral:rRNA from 1 species
UACUCCUACGGGGGAGGCAGCAGUGGGGAAUUUUGGACAAUGGGCGAAAGCCUGAUCCAGCAAUGCCGCGUGUGUGAAGAAGGCCUUCGGGUUGUAAAGCACUUUUGUCCGGAAAGAAAUGGCUCUGGUUAAUACCUGGGGUCGAUGACGGUACCGGAAGAAUAAGGACCGGCUAACUACGUGCCAGCAGCCGCGGUAAUACGUAGGGUCCAAGCGUUAAUCGGAAUUACUGGGCGUAAAGCGUGCGCAGGCGGUUGUGCAAGACCGAUGUGAAAUCCCCGAGCUUAACUUGGGAAUUGCAUUGGUGACUGCACGGCUAGAGUGUGUCAGAGGGGGGUAGAAUUCCACGUGUAGCAGUGAAAUGCGUAGAGAUGUGGAGGAAUACCGAUGGCGAAGGCAGCCCCCUGGGAUAACACUGACGCUCAUC